UUUUUAGCGGUGGGAGGGACAAUUUUAUCUGGCUAUGUUUGCUAGCCCAUAAAUUGAAAAAAUAAAAUAUAGGUUUGGACAAAAACAUUGACAAAAAACAAACUUGUUAUAAAAGAUCAAACAAUGAGAAUAGGUUUUUCCUAGAGUCUUUAUAUUUCAAUUGCUUGAAAAUCAGGAGGGAUAACAAGGGAUUGAAGGAUUGCAUUUUAUAAUUUAGGUUCACUUAUUGUCACUGGAAAUAGCAAAAUGUCUAGGUUUGAAUGUGAUAUUAUUAUAAAUCAU
rnacentral:lncRNA from 1 species